UGCCCCAUGGCUGAGUUGGUUACAGCGUCCGACUGUUAACGUCGUUGACUGAAUCGGAAGGUCGAGAGUUCGAGCCUCUCUGGGGCAG
rnacentral:tRNA from 2 species